rnacentral:rRNA from 1 species
AGUGAACGCUGGCGGUAGGCCUAACACAUGCAAGUCGAACGGCAGCACAGUAAGAGCUUGCUCUUACGGGUGGCGAGUGGCGGACGGGUGAGGAAUACAUCGUAAUCUACUUUUUCGUGGGGGAUAACGUAGGGAAACUUACGCUAAUACCGCAUACGACCUACAGGUGAAAGCAGGGGAUCUUCGGACCUUGCGCGAUUGAAUGAGCCGAUGUCGGAUUAGCUAGUUGGCGGGGUAAAGGCCCACCAAGGCGACGAUCCGUAGCUGGUCUGAGUGGAUGAUAGGCCACACGGGAACGGAGACACGGUCCAGACUCCUACGGGAGGCAGCAGUGGGGAAUGUUGGACAAUGGGCGCAAGCCUGAUCCAGCCAUACCGCGUGGGUGAAGAAGGCCUUCGGGUUGUAAAGCCCUUUUGUUGGGAAAGAAAAGCAGCAGGUUAAUACCACGCGGUUCUGACGGUACCCAAAGAAUAAGCACCGGCUAACUUCGUG